rnacentral:misc_RNA from 1 species
GUUUAUGGUUUGACGAUAUUUGCCAAAAGAGUUAUGAAGUGAGAGAGAAGAAGCCCAUGGGAAUAAUGUUUUCCUUUUUUAUUUUCCUUUUUUUAUGCCAUAUUUUGGUAUUUCAUACGAGACCAACAGAAUUGAAGGCCAUGGAAAGUAUGGAAGGUGAUUCAAAAUUAGAGAUUGUCACAUUGAAGGAGCAAAGACUUUUUUUCUAUUUUUUUUAAGAAAUUUUUGGAAUUUUUGUUUAUAGAUCUUGAGAGCAUUUUUGUUUGCAAUUUUUC